UGGCGAACGGGUGAGUAAUAUAUCGGAACGUGCCCAGUCGUGGGGGAUAACGUAGAGAAAUUUACGCUAAUACCGCAUACGAUCUAAGGAUGAAAGCGGGGGAUUCGCAAGAACCUCGCGCGAUUGGAGCGGCUGAUAUCAGAUUAGGUUGUUGGUGAGGUAAAAGCUCACCAAGCCGACGAUCUGUAGCUGGUUUGAGAGAACGACCAGCCACACUGGGACUGAGACACGGCCCAGACUCCUACGGGAGGCAGCAGUGGGGAAUUUUGGACAAUGGGCGAAAGCCUGAUCCAGCAAUGCCGCGUGCAGGAAGAAGGCCUUCGGGUUGUAAACUGCUUUUGUACGGAACGAAAAAGCCUUUUCUAAUAAAGAGGGCUCAUGACGGUACCGUAAGAAUAAGCACCGGCUAACUACGUGCCAGCAGCCGCGGUAAUACGAGGGAUGCAAGCGUUAUCCGGAAUUAUUGGGCGUAAAGCGUCCGCAGGUGGCUUUGUAAGUCUGUCGUUAAAGCGUGGAGCUCAACUCCAUAUCGGCGAUGGAAAC
rnacentral:rRNA from 1 species